AAGACCUUGCGCUUUUGGAGCGGCCGAUGUCUGAUUAGCUUGUUGGUAAGGUAAAAGCUUACCAAGGCUUCGAUCAGUAGCUGGUCUGAGAGGACGACCAGCCACACUGGGACUGAGACACGGCCCAGACUCCUACGGGAGGCAGCAGUGGGGAAUUUUGGACAAUGGGGGCAACCCUGAUCCAGCCAUGCCGCGUGAGUGAAGAAGGCCUUCGGGUUGUAAAGCUCCUUCAGCCGGAACGAAACGGUUACGGUUAAUACCCGUGACUACUGACGGUACCGGAAGAAGAAGCACCGGCUAACUACGUGCCAGCAGCCGCGGUAAUACGUAGGGUGCAAGCGUUAAUCGGAAUUACUGGGCGUAAAGCGUGCGCAGGUGGUUUUGUAAGUCAGAUGUGAAAUCCCCGGGCUUAACCUGGGAACU
rnacentral:rRNA from 1 species